rnacentral:tRNA from 1 species
UUGGGGUGUAGCUCAGUGGUAGAGCAGUUGCCUAGCAUGUAUAAGGCCCUGAGUUCGAUUCCUAGCCCUCAAA